GACGAACGCUGGCGGCGUGCUUAACACAUGCAAGUCGAACGGUGAAGGGACCGGUUUUUGCUGGUUCUGGAUGAGUGGCGAACGGGUGAGUAACACGUGAGUAACCUGCCCCCUUCUUCUGGAUAACCGCAUGAAAGUGUGGCUAAUACGGGAUAUUCUGCGCCUGCUGCAUGGUGGGUGUGGGAAAGAUAUUGUUUCGGUGGGGGAUGGGCUCGCGGCCUAUCAGCUUGUUGGUGGGGUGAUGGCCUACCAAGGCGGUGACGGGUAGCCGGCCUGAGAGGGUGGACGGUCACACUGGGACGGAGACACGGCCCAGACUCCUACGGGAGGCAGCAGUGGGGAAUAUUGCACAAUGGGCGCAAGCCUGAUGCAGCGACGCCGCGUGAGGGAUGGAGGCCUUCGGGUUGUAAACCUCUUUCGCCAGUGAAGCAGGCCUGUCCCUUUUGUGGGUGGGUUGACGGUAGCUGGAUAAGAAGCGCCGGCUAACUACGUG
rnacentral:rRNA from 1 species